GAGGAACAGAUUCGCGAGGGUCAGCUAGAGCGUCAGAAAUUAGAAGGCAUUCGUAAGAGCAUCGAUAAAAUAAUGCAACGCCAAAGUACAGAAGAGGAACUGAUCAGAAAAGAUGAAG